rnacentral:lncRNA from 1 species
CCGCCUUAUAUCACACACCUCUUAGAUGAGAUAAAUUAGUCCAAGGACUAUAAUCCCGUGACAAUAUAAUCCACGUACCAAACGAAUGGUUAAAGGCCUUUAGGGAAAAUUAUUGUAGGAAAAAUUACAUAAGUGAAGGUCUUUUAUUUAAUAAUUACCACUUUUAAGUAUACUUUUAAUUUAUUACCAUUUUUGUCAACUUUUAGCAAUACUUACUUAAAACAAUUUUGUUCCUUUAAAC